rnacentral:rRNA from 1 species
CAACAGGGAUUGCCCUAGUAACGGCGAGUGAAGCGGCAACAGCUCAAAUUUGAAAUCUGGCUCUCGGGCCCGAGUUGUAAUUUGUAGAGGAUGCUUUUGAUGCGGUGCCUUCCGAGUUCCCUGGAACGGGACGCCAUAGAGGGUGAGAGCCCCGUCUGGUUGGAUGCCAAAUCUCUGUAAAGCUCCUUCAACGAGUCGAGUAGUUUGGGAAUGCUGCUCUAAAUGGGAGGUAUAUGUCUUCUAAAGCUAAAUACCGGCCAGAGACCGAUAGCGCACAAGUAGAGUGAUCGAAAGAUGAAAAGCACUUUGAAAAGAGAGUUAAAAAGUACGUGAAAUUGUUGAAAGGGAAGCGUUUAUGACCAGACUUGGACUUGGUUAAUCAUCUGGGGUUCUCCCCAGUGCACUUUUCCAGUUCAGGCCAGCAUCAGUUUUCCCCGGGGGAUAAAGGCGGCGGGAAUGUGGCUCUCUUCGGGGAGUGUUAU